rnacentral:tRNA from 1 species
GGCGGGAUUUCCCUAGCCCGGCCAAGGGACCGCGUUGGAAGCGCGGCGUCCGCGAGGGCACGAGUGUUCAAAUCACUCUCCCGCCG